GUAAAGUACUCAGCACAGCGCCCUGUGCACAGCUCGCCCUUAAGAACUACUGGCCCUACACCCAUGGCUGAUUCAUGUUAAUGUAUGGCAAAAACCACUACAAUAUUGUAAAGUAAUGAACGUCCAAUUUAAAACAAACAAGAAUUACUGGCCCUGAGUGGAGGAAGCGUGCAGGAGUCUGCUGCCAUCUGGCGACAACUAUCAGUUUUCCACUGAAGUGUAAAUGUAAAUGAAAGGCCACAUUUGACCUCCAUGUAUUGUGCAAGUGGCGUUUUCAUUGCAGUGCUUUUGGAGUAGCUGUAUGUAGAUCUCCACAGAUUUCUGUCUUGUAGGACGAGUAGGAAAGCUCCUCCUGACCCCCUAGGAAGGUUCUUGGCUAUGGAAGCUGCUUUUGGAGACCACUGCCACCUACUGGCCACCUUGCAUACUUGCAGCCAAGGUGAGCAUCUUGAAUUAAAUGGAAAACGUUGAGAAUACUGAGAGGAAUUCCACCAACCCCACGAUCUGAUUCUGCAACUUUCAAGUUCAUCUUGGGAAGUUCCUUCCUAAAUCUCUCCUUGAAAGUUCCUUCCUAAAUAUCUCCUUGCUUCAAGUUCCACCCACUCCCUGGCGCUACACAGCCUGAGUGCCCAGCAGCCCUGCCCACCGAAUCUGUUCUGUUUGCCUGAACUCACCUGGCGCUGCCUGAUGCCCUCAGCCGUUAGUAGUGAUGGAUGGAAAGAGGACCAGGGUGCUUAAUCAAUGGAUGAUGACAAUUCUUCUGCUCUUGGUUCCUGGGGGAACCUCAAGGACAGCAAGAUUUCUUCAUUAGCUGGUGGCUGAAUGUUGGCCUGAAGAACUCCUCUUUUCAACCUCAGGCUGCGUGGCCACCUUGGUUCCUUUGCCUGGACUUUUCUUCCAGUUCCUUGAGUCCCCCAUCCUUUUGUUUUUUGCCACGGCUUUCAUUGUGGUAUAACUUACAUACCAUUAGAUGUACUCAUUUCCAAGUGUUCGAUUCAAAGAUUUUUAGUAAACGUUGUGCAACUAUCACAAUUCAAUUUUAGCACCUUUUGAUCACCCAUUUGCAGUCACGUCUGGUUCCUUUUUGGCAAUGGGAAGCCUGGGUCAUCCUUUCCCACUAUCUCCUGGGAGAGCUGAUCCCAAAGGAAAGAGCCCAGAAGGAGUUCAUUCAAAUAAAGAAACUUUAUCAGAAUGAAGUGGCUGCCACCAAAACUCUGCUCUCCCCCAAGACUCCAGCCCCUGUCAUGGCUUUGGCCUUGGUUCACAAGAGCCUGCAGGAGGAGGUGUGGUAAGGUCACCCAGACCCCCACACAGCAUCAGAU
ensembl:lncRNA